rnacentral:rRNA from 1 species
AUGGAUGACUGGCAUUAUGUUUCUUACUCCCUACGCAAGUUCCUUAGAGGAUGGGCCAAGAACCACUUUGCUGAGUCGAGGCGCGACAAAUCUAGGUUGAGUGCUCAAAUUAGUGCCCUCGACUCCCGUGCGGACAACGGUGGGCUCUCGGCUACUGAGUGGCAAGUUCGAUAUGGCCUUGAGAAGGAGCUUCUGGCUAUUCAUCGCCAAGAGGAAGUGUAUUGGAAGCAAAGGGGUACGAUUAAUUGGACUCUUAAGGGUGAUUCUCCCACGGCUUACUUUUUCGCCAUUGCGAAUGGCAGACGGCGUAGAUGUUUGAUUAACAGCCUCAUUAUUGAUAGUGUUAGGGUCUCUGAACCGCCUGUCAUUCUCCGUCAUGUAGUUCGGUUCUUCUCUAACCUGCUUGCGGCUAAACCAGACCUCGGAUUCGCGCUAGCACCGGGCUUCUGGGCUCCCCUU